rnacentral:rRNA from 1 species
CCUACGGGAGGCAGCAGUGAGGAAUAUUGGUCAAUGGACGAGAGUCUGAACCAGCCAAGUAGCGUGAAGGAUGACUGCCCUAUGGGUUGUAAACUUCUUUUAUAAGGGAAUAAAGUGAGGGACGUGUCCCUUUUUGUAUGUACCUUAUGAAUAAGGAUCGGCUAACUCCGUGCCAGCAGCCGCGGUAAUA